rnacentral:rRNA from 1 species
UACGUAGGGGGGCGAGCGUUGUCCGGAUUUACUGGGCGUAAAGCGCGUGUAGGCGGCUUUGCAAGUCGGAUGUGAAAGCCCACGGCUCAACCGUGGAAGUGCAUCCGAAACUGCAUGGCUUGAGUCUCGGAGAGGAAGGUGGAAUGCUUGGUGUAGAGGUGAAAUUCGUAGAUAUCAAGCAGAACACCUGCGGCGAAGGCGGCCUUCUGGACGAUGACUGACGACUGGAGACGCGAAAGCGUGGGGAGCAAACAGG